rnacentral:tRNA from 2 species
CUCUCCUUGGUGUAGUUGGUUUAUCACGUUCGACUGUAAUUGUCAGAUUGUUAUCGAAAGGUCCCUAGUUCGAUUCUGGGAGGGGAGA